rnacentral:rRNA from 1 species
GACGAACGCUGGCGGCGUGGAUUAGGCAUGCAAGUCGAACGGUAGGAUACCUUCGGGUAUCUGAGAGUGGCGAACGGGUGAGUAACGCGUUGGUGACCUGCCCCGAAGAGGGGGAUAACAGUCCGAAAGGAUUGCUAAUACCCCAUGUGGUCGUUUGGAUUAGAUGCCUUAUGACUAAACGGAUUUAUUCGCUUCGGGAGGGGCCUGCGUCCCAUCAGCUAGUUGGUGAGGUAAUAGCUUACCAAGGCGAUGACGGGUAGGGGACCUGAGAGGGUGGCCCCCCACAAUGGAACUGAAACACGGUCCAUACACCUACGGGUGGCAGCAGUAGGGAAUAUUGGUAAUCUGGGAAACCGGGAACCAGCAACGCCGCGUGCGCGAUGACGGCCUUCGGGUUGUAAAGCGCUUUUUAAAGGGAUGAGGAAGGACAGUACCUUUAGAAUAAGCCUCGGCUAACUACGUG